rnacentral:misc_RNA from 1 species
GUCUAACGUAGGUAGAAAAAUGAGAGCGUUGAGAGAAUGAGGAGUUCAAACCCCUUUGUUACUUACUCUUGCCUAUAUAUAGAGAGAGGGAAUAUUAUUAAAUUAGAGUAAUAUUUUUUGUCCUCACCACACCUUCAUGAUAUUUGAUAUUUCAUUACACUCUGGCAAUGCCACAAUGGUGGUCUGAGAUUGUGCUAGAUUUAUUCCAUAACUAUAUUUUAAACUUA